UUUCGAGUGGCGGACGGGUGAGUAACGCGUGGGUAACCUGCCUCAUACAGGGGGAUAACAGUUGGAAACGACUGUUAAUACCGCAUAAGACCACAGCACCGCAUGGUGCGGGGGUAAAAACUCCGGUGGUAUGAGAUGGACCCGCGUCUGAUUAGCUAGUUGGUAAGGUAACGGCUUACCAAGGCGACGAUCAGUAGCCGACCUGAGAGGGUGACCGGCCACAUUGGGACUGAGACACGGCCCAA
rnacentral:rRNA from 1 species